AUACGGAGGACGCGAGCGUUAUCCGGAUUCAUUGGGUUUAAAGGGAGCGUAGGCGGGAGCUUAAGUCAGCGGUUAAAUGGUGCGGCUCAACCGUGCCCUGCCGUUGAAACUGGGUUUCUUGAGGGUGCAAGAGGCGGAUGGAAUUCCUGGGGUAGCGGUGUAAUGCUUAGAUAUCAUGAAGAACUCCGAUUGCGAAGGCAGUCCGCUGGGGCACGUCUGACGCUGAUGCUCGAAGGUGCGGGAAUCAAACAGGAUUAGAUACCCUGGUAGUCCGCACGGUAAACGAUGAUUACCCGCUGUCGGCGGCAGACAGUCGGCGGCCAAGCGAAAGCGAUAAGUAAUCCACCUGGGGAGUACGCCGGCAACGGUGAAACUCAAAGGAAUUGACGGGG
rnacentral:rRNA from 1 species